GUAGGUGGCAAGCGUUGUCCGGAAUUAUGGGCGUAAAGCGCGCGCAGGCGGGUUCUUUAAGUCUGAUGUGAAAGCCCACGGGCUCAACCGUGGAGGGUCAUUGGAAACUGGAGAACUUGAGUACAGAAGAGGAAAGCGGAAUUCCACGUGUAGCGGUGAAAUGCGUAGAGAUGUGGAGGAACACCAGUGGCGAAGGCGGCUUUCUGGUCCGUAACUGACGCUGAGGCGCGAAAGCGUGGGGAGCAAACAGGAUUAGAUACCCUGGUAGUCCACGCCGUAAACGAUGAGUGCUAAGUGUUAGGGGGUUUCCGCCCCUUAGUGCUGCAGCUAACGCAUUAAGCACUCCGCCUGGGGAGUACGGCCGCAAGGCUG
rnacentral:rRNA from 1 species